AACAACUUUAUAUGAUGGAAGAUUUAGAUCUUAUUUUCUAGAAUGAUUUACCCUACAAUUAUUGUCUUGCAGAUAAUUAAUAGCCAAAUUGCUAUGGGGCCAAACUGUUCUAUUAAUUGGCGCAUCAUAGUUAUUGCUGAUGUGGAGUUUCCCAUGGAAAGAUCACAUCUCUUGCAUUGUAAUUACAAGUGCUACAGUAAGGAUGUGUGCGCAAAUUGGAUCAACGAUUUACCAGAAAAUUAUAAGGUUUG